UCGAACGUAUNAAGGGAGCUUGCUCCUGGNAUAGUUGGCGAACGGNCUGAGAUAACACGNUGCAGCUAACCCUGCCCUUAACUCUUGGGAUAAGCCUGGGCAAACUGGGUUCUAAUACCGAGAUAUGACUCCUCAUCGCAUGGAGGGGGGUGGAAAGCUUUUUGUGGUUUUGGAUGGACUCNCGGCCUAUNAGCUUGUUGGUGAGGUAAUGGCUUACCAAGGCGACGACGGGUAGCCGGCCUGAGAGGGUGACCGGCCACACUGGGACUGAGACACGGCCCAGACUCCUACGGGAGGCAGCAGUGGGGAAUAUUGCACAAUGGGCGCAAGCCUGAUGCAGCGACGCCGCGUGAGGGAUGACGGCCUUCGGGUUGUAAACCUCUUUCAGUAGGGAAGAAGCGAAAGUGACGGUACCUGCAGAAGAAGCGCCGGCUAACUACGUGCCAGCAGCCGCGGUAAUACGUAGGGCGCAAGCGUUAUCCGGAAUUAUUGGGCGUAAAGAGCUCGUAGGCGGUUUGUCGCGUCUGCCGUGAAAGUCCGGGGCUCAACUCCGGAUCUGCGGUGGGUACGGGCAGACUAGAGUGAUGUAGGGGAGACUGG
rnacentral:rRNA from 1 species